rnacentral:sRNA from 1 species
AACUAGCCCUGAUGGUAGCGAAAAUCCCACAGCAAGCGAUGGGAAAGCAUGGCGCGAGGAAUUGCAGCGGACAGCAGGUUCCCGG